rnacentral:rRNA from 1 species
AUUGAACGCUGGCGGCAGGCCUAACACAUGCAAGUCGAACGGUAGCACAGAGAGCUUGCUCUCGGGUGCCGAGUGGCGGACGGGUGAGUAAUGUCUGGGAAACUGCCCGAUGGGGGGGGAUAACUACUGGAAACGGUAGCUAAUACCGCAUAAUGUCGCAAGACCAAAGAGGGGGACCUUCGGGCCUCUUGCCAUCGGAUGUGCCCAGAUGGGAUUAGCUUGUUGGUGAGGUAAUGGCUCACCAAGGCGACGAUCCCUAGCUGGUCUGAGAGGAUGACCAGCCACACUGGAACUGAGACACGGUCCAGACUCCUACGGGAGGCAGCAGUGGGGAAUAUUGCACAAUGGGCGCAAGCCUGAUGCAGCCAUGCCGCGUGUGUGAAGAAGGCCUUCGGGUUGUAAAGCACUUUCAGCGGGGAGGAAGGCGAUACGGUUAAUAACCGUGUUGAUUGACGUUACCCGCAGAAGAAGCACCGGCUAACUCCGUG